GACAACUUCGGAAACACAGACUGAGGACGAACACUCAGUGAUAUUACCUGAUGAACCAUUUGUGAAAGUUGAACAUGCUUGGCCACAUAUCACCACCCCAACUCUCCCGUUAAACCGAAUUCCCCAAUUCUGAUUAAACCGACCAUCAAAAGACAAGAAGAGGGCUCAAAAUCGUCUGCUGAGUUUCGUACUAUCAAGGCUACGCACAGGACAUAUGUCAGAAUUUGAAGUGUGCUAAAAUAGUGAGGCGGCCAAGGAACAUGGAAAUACGGGAUGUCACCGGACGACAGCAGACGGAAAAAGAAGUGUCUAGACGGUGGAUUAACCGUUGUGGCAUCCCAUCCCCAAAAAGGAUUGUGUCCUUGGCAAAGUACACCUGCUGCAGACAACCAGCGGGAACAAAGGGUUCCGGGCAGACGGCUGCGAGCGUCCACCCUUUAUAAGGCGGACCCAAGGUCGGCAGCGGGCAGCUUGCGCUUGGACUUCGUCGGAGAAGCCGGUUCAAUGCUCAUUCUCAUCCUCAUGUUGUAUUCUCUGUUUUUCCUGUGCAUAAAUGUUGUUUGUUGUUGCCCAGUUGCAAUCACCUCCUUCCUCAUCAUAAGGGAAACUUCACUGGCGCAGUCGACAGGAUUGCAACAUUCACCAUCAUCGGCGGCGCAGACACGUGCAGCACGGAAGCGGACGGUACAGCGGGAGAGAGGACGAGUCAAAGCAACAUCUUUGUGAGAAGCUUUGGGAGCUACGGCUCGAAGGAACAGCAUCUUCGGAGCGGCAUCUGUGCUGGAAGCUUCGAAGGAGAAAGUUGUGUAAGACGGCACCUAAGUGGGAGGUCUUACGUGAGCUGCGGCUGGGAAGCGGCACCUAAGUGGGAGGCUUCAAGAGCUACAGUGAGACGGAGUGGCACCUAAGUGGGAGGCUCCGAGGACCACGGUCACCAGGCACAACACGUCACGGAAGACAACAAAGCAGGUAGGACUCGGUUCCGUUUUCUCUGAGGUCCACCAUGUCUGUAACAACAAGGUCAGGGGAUAAAAAGGUCCAGACUCCCGCAGAAGUUGUUGUAGACGAAAGUGGGACUAAAAGUGGUCAAAAAGAAACGGAUGUCAGGAUAAAGGAGAAAGAAAUGGAACUCCAUGCGUUGCAGCUUCAAAUCGAGCUGGAGAAGCUAAAGUUAGCGCGAGUGCAAGCGGGUGACGUGGCUGACGUACGCACGAACGGGACGCGGCUAGGGGAAUACGCGAAGGAACUGCGUGCCGCAUUGGCGCCCAUGCCGACGUCCGACGCCAUGGUGCCCGCAUGGUUUAAGAACGCAGAUACGUUGUUCGAGGCACUCCAAAUUCCUGAGGCGGUUCGAGGUACGAUCAUCUUACCUUUUCUCAAUGAGAAAGUUAGAACGUUUGUCGCUAGUCAGUCGGAUGGAAGCAUAAUGCUUUAUAGGGAGCUAAAGGAGGUUGUCUUGAAAGAGCUCAAACUGACAGCGAAUGAGUAUAAGAGGCGUUUCAACACGGCUAGGAAGAGCGACGGAGAGUCAUGGAACCAAUUUGCGACGACACUAGAGACGUUUUUCGCAUAUUAUGUACAGAGCCGACAAAUAGAAACAAUGGGCGACCUGAAACAGUUAGUCACUGCAGACAGAAUGAAACAAGUAAUGUCAGAUGACAUGCGUAGUUACAUUGUCCAAAACGAAACUAACUCUUGGCUAAGACCUAAAGAAAUCGCAGAACUCGCGGAAAACUAUGAAGAGAGCCGUCUGAGCCAUAGGGCAUCAAAGCGAGAAAAUGCGGCGCCAGUUAAGAGUGUAAGUGAGCGAGAAAUGAAUCCAGCUAGCACUGCGGUGAACAAACCGAACAAAGGAGACCGGAAACCUGUGAAAUGUUUCAAUUGUGGCGGUGUGGGUCACAUGAUGAGGGACUGCCCGCAGCCGAAGCGUAGGAAAGCGCAUGAAAGGGCAGCAGAAAUCAAGGAAGAUGCGUCGAAGCUCGUCGCUAGGGUAUCGUGGUUAACUCCGACAGAACCAGAUUACGCGAGUAACAGGACAGAAACAAAGGUUGUACACCUUGCGAUUGGCAACAAUGCUAUCGAGGCGCGGAUAGACUCGGGCGCGGAUAUUACGGUGAUCAGGCCGGACCACCUCCCAGAGGAUUAUGUAUCAGACAGUAGUGGCACGGUCAAGUUGAGGGGCGCAUUCGGUCCUGCGAUCACGGCAGAUUUGGUGUAUGUCCCACUCAGUCUAAUGGGAAGGCAGGGAAACGUGAACCAACAAGUGAUCACGCUAUGUGCGGUUACUGAGCAGUUGACAAAAGGUGUCGGCGCGCUGUUAACCCCCGAGGACUAUGGAGAGCUCAGUAAACUAGAGAAAGAACAAGAAAGCGACGCGCAAGAAAUUGUAAACCUGGAACAGGAAGCAGAGGCGGAGUGCGUGAGAGAACCCAAUGUCGUUGACUGCAUAGAACUGGAAGAGGAAUAUGAGGACGAGGCAGGUACAGUUGCCGUUGUGACAGUCGAAGCUGAAGAAAGUAAGGAUGUAGGGCAAGCACGCUCCGAUUUUAGGACAGAGCAAAAGAGCGACCCCACAUUAGCGGACGUCUGGGCACAGGGAAAAGUCGGGACCCAUGGAAUAGUGAUCGAGGACGAUCUACUGUUCCACGUAGAUGAAAUUAAUGGCCGGAAGGAGAAACAGCUAGUACUCCCCAAGUCACGAAGGGAGGAGGUGCUGCGCCUUGCGCAUGACAUGCCAUGCGGAGGGCAUUUUGCAGAAAGAAAAACGAAACAGCGCAUUCGAUGCGGGUUUUAUUGGCCUUCAAUGACAGCUGACAUAAAAUCCUAUUGCCAGAGUUGUCAUUCCUGUCAGGUGUCAUCCAUUCCGAGAGCAAAUGAUCGAGUCCCAAUCACACCGCUAACGAGGCCGCAAGUGCCCUUUCAGAUAGUCUACAUGGAUUGUAUUGGGCCAUUAGAACCUCCUUCCUCACGAGGCCAUCGCUAUGCUCUUUGUGUAGUUGACCUGUGUACACGCUGGGCUGAGGUCGUACCGCUACGGACGCUUACGGCGAAAAUGACCUGUCAGGCACUCGUAGAUAUCUUCGCGCGAUAUGGAACUCCUGAGAUGAUAUGCUCAGAUCAAGGUACAAACUUCGUAGCGAAAGUGACCGUGGAACUCCACAAAUGUCUAGGCAUAGAAGUACGGUUCUCCACGCCCGAACACCCUCAAAGCAACGGGAUCGUUGAGCGCUGGAACGGCACGUUUAAGUCAAUGCUAAGACAUGUGAUUGCCACCCAUAAAAGAGAAUGGGAUCGCUACAUACCUUGCCUAUUAUGGGCCUACCGUGAGGUACCACAUGACGUAACGGGAAUGUCUCCCUUUGAACUGAUGUACGGACGGAGCCCAAAUGGCCCAUUAAGCAUCUUACAGAAAUCAUGGACAGGGCAGUGGACGCCGCCGGACGGUCUAAACACGUCGCCCACACAAUACCUAAGGGAAUUGCGGGACAGAAUGGUAGAAGCCGCGCGUGUCGUAGACGAAAGGUCGGAACGGGUGCAAAGACAAUACGCAGAACGGUACAACCUCAGGACUAAAGAUAAAACGUUCGAGGUCGGGGAUGAAGUACUUAUCCUAGAGACAGGGCUCACUGGAAAAAUGACGCCGAAAUGGCUCGGGCCGAUGAAAGUGAAAGAAAGACGUCGCGAAAACAGUUAUGUUAUUCAGCAACGGGAUGGUACUGAGAAAUGGGUACACGCGAAUAGGCUUAGACGCUAUUAUGCUAGGAUCAACAGUGUCGGGGUGAUAUUCGACAACGACGAUGAGUUCGGAGAAGUAUUAAGCACCCCGAAUGUGAAACAGACGAAGGUAGGCAUAGAUGUGAAAAACAUUGAGAGUGCGCAUCUCAACCCCAAUCAGAGCGAAAGGUUAAGACAGGUUGUCGGGAAGUUCGCCCAAUGUUUCUCAGAGAAACCGGGCAGAUGCAGGGUGGGUUCGCAUAAGAUAACUUUGAUGCCUGGCCAGAAACCUAAGCCUACGUAUCCGUACAAGGUGCCUAUCGCGCUUAGAGACGAAGUGGAGCGGCAGAUAGAGCAACUUCUCGAGUGGGACUUCAUAUACCCAACAGAGAGUGUAUACGCGCAUCCUAUAGUAUGCGUCGCGAAACGGGAUGGGUCCGUCCGAAUGUGUAUCGAUUAUAGGCAAUUGAACACAUUCACGGAACCUGAUAGUUUUCCCAUGGAGAACACCACUGAACUAUUGUACGAGGUAGCUAAAGCGCGUUACAUCACCACUCUGGAUCUAACGCGUGGGUACUGGCAGAUCGCACUUGAUAAGGAAUCUCAGAGACUGUCGGCUUUUGCGUCCCCGCGCGGUCUCUAUGCCUGGAAGGUCAUGCCAUAUGGGUUGAGGAACUCCGCGGCGACGUUUCAGCGCGUCAUGAACGAAGUCCUCCGGAAACAUAGGGGUUAUGCAACGGCCUAUAUUGACGAUGUGGCCGUGUAUUCGGAAACCUGGGAGGCACACCUCGAGCACCUCGAAAACGUUCUAGAGACAAUUGCGGAGGUCGGGUUGGUGAUUAAUCCGUCGAAGUGCAACUUUGCUCAACCGAGUGUUAAAUACCUCGGACAUGUUGUAGGAUCGGGCACGCACUCACCGGAUCCGGAGAGAGUAAAGGCAAUACUGAAUCUAGAGCCGCCUAAGACUAAAACGGAAUUGCGCAGUGCCCUCGGGUUAUGCAACUACUAUCGGGACUACAUCCCUCACUACUCAGAAGUGGUUCGACCACUUACGAAUCUGACUAACAAAAGGGUGCCGAAUAAUAUACCUUGGGACAUGGAAGCGGACAACGCGUUCCGCAAAAUGAAAAUGGCGCUCGCGACGGUCCCGAAGCUGGCGGCACCCGACCCAAACAGGGGGUAUGUACUAGCCACCGAUGCGUCUGAGCGAGCUGUCGGGGCGUGUCUCUCCCAGACAGUAGACAGCAAAGAUGUGCCGAUCGCAUUUCUCAGCAAAAAGCUCACGCCGACACAAUCACGAUGGUCGACGAUAGAACGUGAAGCGUAUGCGAUCGUGUGGGCAUUAAGUCGUCUGGAUACGUGGUUGUUUGGGGCCAAAACCAAGGUAUUAACUGACCACAACCCUCUCACGUAUCUGUGUGGCUCAGCAUCCUCGAGUGCACGUUUAACACGUUGGGCGCUUGCCUUGCAAAAAUACGAUAUUGAGAUCAUACAUAUUCGGGGCAAAUUGAAUAAGUGUGCCGAUGCAUUGUCCAGGUUAAACGCUACUUCCGAAGGAGCGAUUGGGCCAACUUAGAGGGCACAUACAUUGUUGUAUAUAAUGGUAAAUUGCCGGUAUAGCAAAUAGUCUGUGAAAUGGCCUGGUGGGCCUUAGAACGUACUGGACUGGGUCCUAUCCUGUGUGUGCUGUGAAUGUGGCUCCGCUGCGACAGACGUUGCAAGCGGUGAAGUGUGACAAAUUCUGGAUUUUUGUGGAUUUUUAAUGUCCCGCGACAUCAAGUGUCUAGUGACAUUCUUGGCAGGGAGGUGUCAGAAUUUGAAGUGUGCUAAAAUAGUGAGGCGGCCAAGGAACAUGGAAAUACGGGAUGUCACCGGACGACAGCAGACGGAAAAAGAAGUGUCUAGACGGUGGAUUAACCGUUGUGGCAUCCCAUCCCCAAAAAGGAUUGUGUCCUUGGCAAAGUACACCUGCUGCAGACAACCAGCGGGAACAAAGGGUUCCGGGCAGACGGCUGCGAGCGUCCACCCUUUAUAAGGCGGACCCAAGGUCGGCAGCGGGCAGCUUGCGCUUGGACUUCGUCGGAGAAGCCGGUUCAAUGCUCAUUCUCAUCCUCAUGUUGUAUUCUCUGUUUUUCCUGUGCAUAAAUGUUGUUUGUUGUUGCCCAGUUGCAAUCACCUCCUUCCUCAUCAUAAGGGAAACUUCACUACAUACAUUCAUCACUCAUGGGCUUUUACUUCGCGGAGAGGAGCCACCUCAGUGUGAGCACUGUGGUGAACUUCUCUGUCGUACAUACACUAUUUUCAUAUCCUCACUAUGAGGCCCAUCGUCGACACCAUUUUAGACAGUUCUAUUCACAUUAUUUACCUCAUCACCCAGCCCUAUUGCUUGGUGAUGAGGCGAUCAUCCACUUUCGCAGAGUUUUUAACUUCUUGACAGAUAUUGGAAUCUUAAACGUUCUGUAGUUUCAGAAUUGCAGUUGUAGACAGCUUAAUAUGUUUCCUCACUAGUUAUAUUUAAUUUUAACUAGUCACAUCACUGCCAAAUAAUGUUUUGGCGCAUUAUGACCUUUGUUGUCGAUGCGCAAGAAAAAAAAAAAGAAGCUCGAAUCAUCAUUAUCAUCAUCCCAAUUCCCCACAUCACCACCAGCAAUGGGGUAGAGUAUAUCGCCCCGGCGAUGAAAACUCUCCAUUCAUCAUCUCAAAAUAAAGUUGUUGUUGUUGCUCGGCCACACGUUGGGGAGGCCGGCCGGACUUGGUGGAUCCGUCUGCUGAAUCCAAGGUAUGUAUAGGAACCUGGCCCAGGACACCAGUAACUUGAGUUAGGGUACAAGUCGCGUGGACACGGCGUCUUCUACGAGGAGCGGUUAGUUAUUAGUAUUGAAAUGUCGGCGUAUGUCAGAGAAAGCUCAGUUGGGCAAAACUUGUCCACAUACUGACCACAACUGUUAUCAUAUUGUUGCUGAGCAGAAACGACCAAGGUAUGCAGGCUGGUAGUUGGUGACGAUUCAUACUGAGUGAACGGGGAGCAAGAAGGAGAAAGACGAGAGAUCGCCUCUCGUCUCUGUUGUUCUUGCUGCUUUUUCACUCAGUGUCAGCUGAAAUGUACGUUUGCCCGCAUUGUUCAUCCACCUUCGUGAAUUUACGUUGCGAUGUUUGACCCUCCCGUGCAGAAGCGUGUCCUCCUCCUGCGGUUCUUAAAGAAGGUAGAGGCAUGCCUUUAGCUGCGCAGUAAGUAUACACAGCGUUCGUUG